rnacentral:SRP_RNA from 1 species
GCUGGGUGUGGUGGUGCAUGCCUGUAAUCCCAGCUACUUGGGAGGCUGAGGCAGGAGAAUCGCUUGAACCCAGGAGGUGGAGGUUGCGGUGAGCUGAGAUCAUGCCAUUGCACUCCACCCUGGAUGACAGAGUGAGACUCUGUCUCAA